ACGAGAGGCCCAAACGUUAUUCGGAUUUACUGGGCUUAAAGAGUCCGUAGGCGGCGCAGAAAGUUGGGUGUGAAAUCCCUCGGCUCAACCGAGGAACUGCGCCCAAAACUACUGUGCUCGAGGGAGACAGAGGUGAGCGGAACUUAGGGUGGAGCGGUGAAAUGCGUUGAUAUCCUAAGGAACACCGGUGGCGAAAGCGGCUCACUGGGUCUCUUCUGACGCUGAGGCACGAAAGCUAGGGGAGCGAACGGGA
rnacentral:rRNA from 1 species